rnacentral:RNase_P_RNA from 2 species
CAAGAAAAAUGGCUUGUUGAUUCUCGAAUUUUCGAGGGUAGGAAAGUCCGGACACCAAAGAGCAGCAAAGCGGAUAACAUCCGUCGGUCGCAAGAUCAGGACCAGUGCAACAGAAAGAAUGUAUAUUCAUUUAUAGUGAAAUCAGGUAAACUCUUUGCGGUGCAAUGUUAAGUAUAUCGGAUUUUUUUCAGCAAUGAAAAAUAGGAGUUGCUCGCUCCAAAAACCGAGGGGUAAACAGCUCAAGUUUUGCAGCAAUGUAAAACGCAGAUAAAUAACAAGCGUCCCGUUUCGGCGGGAGACAGAAUCCGGCUUACAGUUUUUCUUGUGGG